AAGAAAAAGAAAAGAAAAGCAAUUUAUAAGUGCGAGUAAAUUCCCGGUGGGAAUAAUAUUCCGUCGAACGGCAAACGCUCACCUUCAGCCUCAGCCUCAGGCGAUGAAGAAGCCGAGUCAACCCCCCAAAAUCAAGGACAAGAAUGAAUCGCUCCUUCCCAACAACGAAAAGAAACCCCUUUCUUCUUCUUCUCCUUCUACUUCUUCUUCUUCCUCCUCUAUAUCCCCAAACCCAAACCAAAACCCAAACGGCACCGUUCCAGUCCCAAAGAAGAUAACCAGAGAUCUCCCCAAUCUAUCCGAAUGCCACGCUUGCGGGUUGAGAACCGACACCGCCAACCCUAACCCUAAAAGGCAAAGACUCCAAACCUUGCGCAGCGAAUGGCGCAUCGUUCUUCUCUGCAACAAGUGUUUCCUCCGCGUCAACUCCUCCCACAUCUGCUCCUACUGUUUUCUCCAAGCCGACCACUCCUCCUUCCGCUGCCGCCUCUGUAACCGCCGCGUCCACAGCCACUGCUUUCACAACAAUCGGCACGUCGCGCCCUGGUCCUACGCUUCUUCCGAUGAAUUCUCCGUUUGCGUCGAUUGCUGGGUGCCGAAGCCCAUUGCGCUUUCCCGGAGUCGGAGUCGGAGUCAGAGUCAGAACAACUUCAAGGGCAAUUCCGACGAGUCAUCUAGGGUAUUGCCUGAAUUGAGUUCUGUCAAAUCGCUCCAAGACGCGGCCAAUGAUGCCAGUUCUGUGGCCAAGAACAAGAUCGAGGCCGCCGUUAAGGCCAGAGAGGAGGCCGUGAGGAAAGGCUUGAUGGCUAGGAAGGCCGUGGAGUUGGCCAAUACUGCUCUUGAUUUGGUUGCUUCUGACGCUAACAAUAAGGAGGAGGAUGGGGUUUUUAUCGAUGAUGUGGAAUUGGCGUUUCGGUUGCACCGGGUUAUGAAUAGCUCCCCAAGGAUUUCCAGCAACUUUUGCUCCUUGAAUACCAGUUGCUUGGCUAUUGUUCCGAGGUCGGCGGCCUCGGGGAAUCCUAGCGUUUGUGGGAAGCUUCAACUUUGCAGUGACAACAAGUUGUGUGAAAAUCCUGAUAAAAGUGUUUCAGAACCUUCAGUUUGUGUUCGGCCUUCAGAUGGGGAUGGGAAUUCUUCCAAUUCAAAUGGAGAUGACAAUACUAUGGACUCUGCCAAUCUAUCCUCUGGUAAUGAAUGCAAACCUACUACUACUACUACUACUGUGUCUAAGGAUAGAUAUAGGUUUAAGUAUUGUAGAUUCAAGCCUGCUAAUGUGCCUAAGGAUAGAUAUCGGAUUAAGUAUUGUAGAUGCAAGCCUGCUAAUGUGCCUAAGGAUAGAUAUCGGUUUAAGUAUUGUAGAUGCAAACCUGCAAGGCCGAAGGAUAGAUAUCGAGUUAAGUAUUGUAGGAGAAACUUUAGAUUGAAAACACUUGUUGAUUGUAAAGAAUCCAAGUUCUCUUGCGACGGGUUUGACCUGGUUAACGAGUGCUCUGCUUCUGCUCCUGCUCCUGCUCCUGCUCCUGGACUAGUUACGGCUUGUUCCAAUGAAUCGAUGAAAAUUUCCAAUGCUACAUUAUUGCAGUGCUGUGUGGUUCCUUUACAACCUUCUGGUUGUGCAAGUGGUUCAUUUCAAGACCAGUCAUCAAGGCAAUAGGUCCUAAUUGAUAUUGCUUGCUCACUUUGAGAUAACUUUGAUUGGUGAAUCAAAGUUUAAAAAUGCCGUGUGAUAUUCUAUCUCACUAAGUGGCUGAGCUCACCCACUAUCUCUCUCCACCUUUUAAGAUUAGUGUAGUGAACUUUCUGAAGACAACUGGUUAGUGAUUGUCGCAAUUAUACAAGUAGACUACACUUAGAAAAUAUAUAUAUAAAUUGAAUGUUCUGUUAUGAUUUUGGGAUUGUAAACUUGUUAAUUUUUAUUAUUAUUUCAGGAUGUAUUUGGGAGUCUUAAUUUUCAUGUUUUAAGUUCAAUGAAAUGUUGGAAGGUUAACGUUGAAAUAUUGAAAUGACAGUUUUGGUUGUUUAUAUUUUAGGCAUUUAGUUAUGCGCUAUUCUAUUAUUGGAAGUUAGUGUCCCAAAAAUUGCAGGUUUUGUCAUAUUGGCAUUACGCUGUAAAUCAAGUCAAUGAUGAUUUCUAGUUUACCAUAGUGCUGGAUUUCUAUCAAAUUAUGAUGGUUUCUCUUCAUUUCAGUUUUCAAAUUGUUUCUAUUUUCUUUUCCCUUCUGGUUGUCUCUUAGAUUGAAAUGCUAGAGUUUUGAUUAUGUCACAAUGAUUGCUUUU